CCAGUUUCUGAGGGAGUAUGCUUAACAUUCAGAUUGUCCAAGCUUAUUGUUCUGUUCUUUAGAUCCAUCACUCUGUCUCCCACACGUGUUCAAAGAUGCUCUCUCGCUUCUCUCUUUUUCCUCUUCAGGAAGCUUCGUCAAUCCAUGGAACCACAAGGGAUGCAUUUGGACUGAAGAUAGUGAAUAUGAUUUUAUACAUCAACCAUAGUCCCGAAUUUAUGAUUUAAUAUGGACUAUGCACUGAUAAAGGUCAGCAGCAGCCAAUAUGGUCAACAGUCAGGGGGUUGGUGGUUGGCAAUGCAGGGAUGUAGAAAUAGGUGGUGGACGUCUUUUGGAAUGUGUUUUUUUUCCUCUUAUGAGAUCCUAGGCAGUUACAGUUUAAGAUGCUAUCAUGUUGUUGUAUUGGUUUUGAUGUCUUGAAUUGGGUGAUGAGAAUGGUAAUAGGUUAGAGAUUAUUUUAUGCAUUUUGUCGAUAUUUGUAAUCAGUUCAAUUGGUUAGAGUUGAGCCCCUAUCAUUUGUU